UAGUUGGGCUUCAACACCUCAGACAAAGACCCAGAGUUGACAGGAAAGGGAGGAAAACCAUGGGGCAAAUUUCCUUUGUGAGUUUCGGUUUGCUGAUUGUGGCCAUCUCUCUGAGUGGAGUGAAAGGCUGUUGCUGUCCCGAUAAUUGGCUGCCCAUGAAUGGGUUUUGCUACAAGCUCAACGAUCAACUCAAGACCUGGAAU